UAAGUGGUAAAGGAUGUGGGAUUGCACAGACAACCAGGAUGUUGGCUUAGAAGCAGCCACUCAUUCAAAGAGUGCGUAAUAGCUCACUGGUCGAGUGAUCCUGCGCCGAAGAUUUCCGGGGCUAAAACUUACUACCGAAGCUACGGCAUCAGUAAUGAUGGGUAGGGGAGCUUCCCAUACGGGUUGAAGCAUGACCGUAAGGACAUGUGGACAGUAUGGGAGUGAGAAUGUUGGCUUGAGUAGCGAGAUGUGGGUGAGAAUCCCACAGGCCGUAAACCCAAGGUUUCCAGGGGAAGGUUCGUCCGCCCUGGGUUAGUCGGGACCUAAGCUGAGGCCGAAAGGCGUAGGUGAUGGACAACAGGUUGAUAUUCCUGUACUACCGAUAACCGUUUGAGAGAAGGGAUGACACAGUAGGAUAAGCUAAGCACACUGUUGGUUAUGUGUGCCCAAGCAUUGAGGCAGUCAAAGUAGGCAAAUCCGCUUUGAUAAUGCUGGGAUGUGAUGGGGAGCGAAAUUUAGUAGCGAAGUAGCUGAUUUCACACUGUCAAGAAAAGUCUCUAUCGAGGUUAAAGGUACCCGUACCGCAAACCGACACAGGUGGGUGAGGAGAGUAUCCUAAGGCCAGCGAGAGAACUGUUGUUAAGGAACUCGGCAAAAUGACCCCGUAACUUAGGGAUAAGGGGUGCCACCAUCAGGUGGCCGCAGAGAAUAGGCCCAAGCGACUGUUUACCAAAAACAUAGGUUUCUGCUAAGUCGCAAGACGAUGUAUAGGAGCUGACGCCUGCCCGGUGCUGGAAGGUUAAGGGGAUCUGUUAGAGCAAUCGAAGCAGUGAACUUAAGCCCCAGUAAACGGCGGCCGUAACUAUAACGGUCCUAAGGUAGCGAAAUUCCUUGUCGGGUAAGUUCCGACCCGCACGAAAGGCGUAACGAUUUGGGCACUGUCUCAACAACAGACUCGGUGAAAUUGUAAUUCCGGUGAAGAUGCCGGAUACCUGCGACAGGACGGAAAGACCCCAUGGAGCUUUACUGUAGCUUGACAUUGGGUCUUGGUACUACAUGUACAGGAUAGGUGGGAGGCUUUGAAACCAGGACGCCAGUUUUGGCGGAGCCAUCCUUGGGAUACCACCCUUGUAGUACUGGGACUCUAACCAUAGGCCAUGAAUCUGGUCUUGGGACACUGUCAGGUGGGCAGUUUGACUGGGGCGGUCGCCUCCCAAAAGGUAACGGAGGCGCUCAAAGGUUCUCUCAGUACGGUCGGAAAUCGUACGUAGAGUGUAAAGGCAAAAGAGAGCUUGAUUGCAAGACAUACAGGUCGAGCAAGGAUGAAAAUCGGACUUAGUGAUCCGGUGGUUCUGCGUGGAAGGGCCAUCGCUCAACGGAUAAAAGCUACCCUGGGGAUAACAGGCUUAUCUCCCCCAAGAGUCCACAUCGACGGGGAGGUUUGGCACCUCGAUGUCGGCUCGUCGCAUCCUGGGGCUGUAGUCGGUCCCAAGGGUUGGGCUGUUCGCCCAU
rnacentral:rRNA from 1 species